GAUUUCUGGUUUGAUGCGUUUGGCCCUCUCGGGUCUACUCGAUGUGUGUGCCGAUGCGCGUCUGCCAUCCUUGUAGAGAACGUUUCUACCCUUCACUGGGCCGGAUUCGCGAUCUACAUCCUUUACUUUGAAAAAAUUAGAGUGUUUAAAGCAGGCUUGUGCUAUGAAUACAUUAGCAUGGAAUAAUAAUUUAGGACUUUAGCCCUAUUUUGUUGGUUUCUAGGACUGAAGUAAUGAUUGAUAGGGAUAGUUGGGGGUGCUAGUAUUCAGCGGCCAGAGGUGAAAUUCUUGGAUUCGCUGAAGACUAACUUAUGCGAAAGCAUU
rnacentral:rRNA from 1 species